rnacentral:rRNA from 1 species
ACACAUGCAAGUCGAACGGAAAGGCCCCUGCUUGCAGGGGUACUCGAGUGGCGAACGGGUGAGUAACACGUGGGUGAUCUGCCCUUCACUUCGGGAUAAGCCUGGGAAACUGGGUCUAAUACCGGAUAGGACCAAUCUUUAGUGUGGUUGGUGGAAAGUUUUUUCGGUGGAGGAUGAGCCCGCGGCCUAUCAGCUUGUUGGUGGGGUAAUGGCCUACCAAGGCGACGACGGGUAGCCGGCCUGAGAGGGUGGACGGCCACAUUGGGACUGAGACACGGCCCAGACUCCUACGGGAGGCAGCAGUGGGGAAUAUUGCACAAUGGGCGGAAGCCUGAUGCAGCGACGCCGCGUGAGGGAUGACGGCCUUCGGGUUGUAAACCUCUUUCGCUAGGGAAGAAGCCUUCGGGUGACGGUACCUGGAUAAGAAGCACCGGCUAACUACGUGCCAGCAGCCGCGGUAAUACGUAGGGUGCGAGCGUUGUCCGGAAUUACUGGGCGUAAAGAGCUCGUAGGUGGUUUGUCGCGUCGUCUGUGAAAUUCCGGGGCUUAACUCCGGGCGUGCAGGCGAUACGGGCAAGCUGGAGUGCUGUAGGGGAGACUGGAAUUCCUGGUGUAGCGGUGGAAUGCGCAGAUAUCAGGAGGAACACCGAUGGCGAAGGCAGGUCUCUGGGCAGUUACUGACACUGAGGAGCGAAAGCCAUUGGGUAGCGAACAGGAUUAGAUACCC